rnacentral:rRNA from 1 species
UACGGAGGGUGCGAGCGUUAUCCGGAAUUAUUGGGCGUAAAGGGCUCGUAGGCGGUUUGUCGCGUCGGGAGUGAAAACCAGGUGCUUAACACCUGGCCUGCUUUCGAUACGGGCAGACUAGAGGCAUUCAGGGGAGAACGGAAUUCCUGGUGUAGCGGUGGAAUGCGCAGAUAUCAGGAGGAACACCGGUGGCGAAGGCGGGUCUCUGGGCAGUAACUGACGCUGAGGAGCGAAAGCGUGGGGAGCGAACAGG